CGUGCCCUUUUGGGUAUGGCUUUUGGAAUGAGAGAAACACAGAAUCCACAUCGAGGAUCAAUUGGAGGGCAAGUCUGGUGCCAGCAGCCGCGGUAAUUCCAGCUCCAAUAGCGUAUAUUAAAGUUGCUGCAGUUAAAAAGCUCGUAGUUGCAUUUCCGAGGCAAGGGAUUAGUCCGACCUUUGGUGGGUAUUUAAUCCUCUUGCCUCGUCCUUGAGUGGUGCUUCUUGGUAUUAAGUUAUCGAGGAGAUAGCCGCUCAUCGUUUACUGUGAGAAAAUUAGAGUGUUCAAAGCAGGCUUAUGCCGUUGAAUAUAUUAGCAUGGAAUAAUAAGAUAGGACCUCGGUACUAUUUUGUUGGUUUGAGAACCAAGGUAAUGAUAAAUAGGGACAGUUGGGGGUAUUCGUAUUCGGUUGUCAGAGGUGAAAUUCUUAGAUUUACGGAAGACGAACUACUGCGAAAGCAUUUACCAAGGAUGUUUUCAUUAAUCAAGAACGAAAGUAUGGGGAUCGA
rnacentral:rRNA from 1 species